rnacentral:rRNA from 1 species
CCGGUAAACGGCGGCCGUAACUAUAACGGUCCUAAGGUAGCGAAAUUCCUUGUCGGGUAAGUUCCGACCUGCACGAAUGGCGUAAUGAUGGCCAGGCUGUCUCCACCCGAGACUCAGUGAAAUUGAACUCGCUGUGAAGAUGCAGUGUACCCGCGGCAAGACGGAAAGACCCCGUGAACCUUUACUAUAGCUUGACACUGAACAUUGAGCCUUGAUGUGUAGGAUAGGUGGGAGGCUUGGAAGUGUGGACGCCAGUCUGCAUGGAGCCGACCUUGAAAUACCACCCUUUAAUGUUUGAUGUUCUAACGUUGACCCGUAAUCCGGGUUGCGGACAGUGUCUGGUGGGUAGUUUGACUGGGGCGGUCUCCUCCUAAAGAGUAACGGAGGAGCACGAAGGUUGGCUAAUCCUGGUCGGACAUCAGGAGGUUAGUGCAAUGGCAUAAGCCAGCUUGACUGCGAGCGUGACGGCGCGAGCAGGUGCGAAAGCAGGUCAUAGUGAUCCGGUGGUUCUGAAUGGAAGGGCCAUCGCUCAACGGAUAAAAGGUACUCCGGGGAUAACAGGCUGAUACCGCCCAAGAGUUCAUAUCGACGGCGGUGUUUGGCACCUCGAUGUCGGCUCAUCACAUCCUGGGGCUGAAGUAGGUCCCAAGGGUAUGGCUGUUCGCCAUUUAAAGUGGUACGCGAGCUGGGUUUAGAACGUCGUGAGACAGUUCGGUCCCUAUCUGCCGUGGGCGCUGGAGAACUGAGGGGGGCUGCUCCUAGUACGAGAGGACCGGAGUGGACGCAUCACUGGUGUUCGGGUUGUCAUGCCAAUGGCACUGCCCGGUAGCUAAAUGCGGAAGAGAUAAGUGCUGAAAGCAUCUAAGCACGAAACUUGCCCCGAGAUGAGUUCUCCCUGACUCCUUGAG